rnacentral:rRNA from 1 species
UAAUACAGAGGGGGCAAGUGUUGUUCGGAAUUACUGGGCGUAAAGGGCGCGUAGGCGGCCUGUUAAGUCGAACGUGAAAUCCCCGGGCUCAACCCGGGAACUGCGUCCGAUACUGGCAGGCUUGAAUCCGGGAGAGGGAUGCGGAAUUCCAGGUGUAGCGGUGAAAUGCGUAGAUAUCUGGAGGAACACCGGUGGCGAAGGCGGCAUCCUGGACCGGCAUUGACGCUGAGGCGCGAAAGCCAGGGGAGCAAACGGGAUUAGAUACCCCGGUAGUCCUGGCCCUAAACGAUGAAUGCUUGGUGUGGCGGGUAUCGAUCCCUGCCGUGCCGAAGCUAACGCAUUAAGCAUUCCGCCUGGGGAGUACGGUCGCAAGGCU